rnacentral:rRNA from 1 species
AUGAAAGGCCGCAGCAGCCACCGCGGGACCGCUCCCACCUCCGCCGCCGCCUCGACUUCCAGCAAGCGCGACCCCGAAGACGAGCCCGUCUCAGACUCCGAGGAAUCGGGCGACGAGGAGCAGGAUGUCUCCUCGUCGUCGGGGUCGGAGUCGGAGUCGGAGAACGACCAGUUAGCGGAGCGGGAGAGGAAGCUGGAGCGCGUGCUCGCCGACGUGCCCUUCGGGGAGCUGCAGCGCGCGCGUGCCGACGGGUCGCUCGCGGCGCGGGGUGUUUCUGCUGCCGCCGCGGCCCAGAAGAAGGCUCGCAGGGAGAGCAGGAAGAGGCCCAUGGAGAUUAGCACGAAUGUGCGGCCGCCUAGACUCAGGGAGGUGAUCCAGGUUCCCAAGAAGGUUGUAAGGGAUCCAAGAUUCGAACCUGUAUAUGGAACUGUUGAUAAAGAAGGAUUCAGGAAAAGAUACAAUUUCUUAUUCGAUCAUGAUCUGCCCGCAGAAAAAGAGAAACUCCAAAAGUCGAUUAAGAAAUUGAAGGAUCCGAAUGCCAUUGAAGAAGCGAAGAAUCAAAUCACCUGGAUUGAUAAGCAGUUGAGGUCUAAUCCUCAGAAGAACGUUGAAUCAGAAAUUCUGCGUGGACAUAUUAAGAAAGAGAGGGAAGCAGCAAAGGCCGGAAAACGACCAUAUUAUCUGAAGAAAUCUGAAAUUCGUGAAAGGAAGUUGAUGGAUAAGUACAAUGAGCUCAAGGAGGCAGGAAAGCUUGAUUCCUUUAUGGAGAAGCGACGCAAGAAGAAUGCAUCCAAAGAUCAUCGCUUCAUGCCAUACCGAAGGGAUGGGGGUGGUGCAUAA